rnacentral:rRNA from 1 species
GCUAAAAACUUAGCCUUACCCCUACAAUUAUAUUUACCCUAUUUUACUUACACAAAAUAAAACAUUCUUUAAGCUUAGUAAAGGAGAUAAAAAAGUUUUUUAGAGCUAUAAAAUAAGUACCGCAAGGGAAAAAUGAAAUAAAAAUGAAACAAAAUUCAAGCAUAAUAUAGUAGAGUUUUCCCCUCGUACCUUUUGCAUCAUGAUUCAACUAGUUUAACCACGCAAAAAGAAUUUAAGUUUGACUUCCCGAAACUAAGUGAGCUACUUCAGGGCAGCUAAAUGAGCCAACCCGUCUCUGUUGCAAAAGAGUGGGAUGACCCUUAAGUAGAGGUGAUAAACCUAACGAACUUAGUGAUAGCUGGUUAUUCAGGAAAAGAAUUUUAGUUCAACUUAAAAUUACAUAAAUAAAAUAAAAUAAAAUUUUAAUUUUAAAGCAAUUCAAAUAAGGUACAGCCUAUUUGAAAUAGAAUACAAUCUAAACUAUAGGGUAAAUAUAAAAAAUUAAUGUAAUAAAGUAGGCCUAAAAGCAGCCAACUUUAAAAUAGCGUCAAAGCUUACUUCCAUAAUUUUUUAAUACUAUUAUUUACAAUGAACCCUUUAUUUUUACUGAAUAUUUCUAUAAAGUUAUAGAACCUUUUAUGUUGAAACUAGUAACAAGAAGUUAAACUUCUCCUCAAUAUAAGUAUAAGUCGACUAGGAUAAACCAUCGACAAUUAACGCUUAAAUUAAAUGUAUUAACUCCACAAGAAAAACUUACAUUACCCCACGUUAAUCUUACACCAGAACAUUUAAGGAAAGAUUNAAAAAA